rnacentral:tRNA from 1 species
GUAAAUAUAGUUUUAAAAAACAUUAGACUGUGAAUCUAAUAACAGGAGAUAAUCCUCCUUAUUUACC